GUACGUGAAACCGUUCAGGGGUAAACGGGAGAAAUCCUGAAUUCGAAAGGGGCCGGAUUCCAGUCUCUCCGGGUGGCAUUCCGGGCCGUCUUGCCCCGCCAGAUGGCGUCGGUCGCCCGCGGCGAUUCACUUCGCUUGCGGUGUCGUUCCCGGCGAUCACUCGGCGGGGUGGCGCGCUCCGGUCCCGGAGGUCCGCACGUCCACCCUUUGUAGAAACGUCGCGACCCGUUGGGUGCCGGUCCAAGGCCCGGGAAGGCAGACCGUGCGUUCCGCGGGGGUUCCCGCGGGCGCGCGGACUCCCGGUGUCCCGGCCGGCUGCCCGACGGUAUGACCAGAGGAGGCGAUCCGCUGAAAAUGAGAAACACUAUGGCUGUGCAGCGUCCGGCCCGGCGCCGAUGCGCGAGGGGAGCGAGGUGUAAACUGUUGGGUGUCCGUGCCGAGCACGGCCCCGGCCCCUCUGCGUCUUCGGUGGCUGCCGGUGUCCUCGGACUGGAUCGAAACUCCCGUCUGCGACGCCCAUUUUCGGAUGG
rnacentral:rRNA from 1 species